rnacentral:rRNA from 1 species
UACGUAGGGGGCAAGCGUUGUCCGGAAUCAUUGGGCGAAAGGGCGUGUAGGCGGCUCGGUAAGUCCGCUGUGAAAGUCCAGGGCUCAACCCUGGAAUGCCGGUGGAAACUGUCGAGCUCGAGUCCGGAAGAGGCGAGCGGAAUUCCUGGUGUAGCGGUGAAAUGCGCAGAUAUCAGGAGGAACACCAAUGGCGAAGGCAGCUCGCUGGGACGG